ACCCGCGAGGCUUUGCAGUGGCUGCUUGGCUUGGCAGUGGUCGCUUGGCUUGGCGUGGCAGUGAUCGCUUGGCUUGGCAUUUCUGGCUUAGCGGUCCUCCUUUCGCAGAUUGGAAACCGCGGGCUAUCCUGCUGGGAGGUUGUGGCCGAGGCAGUAGCUCGCUACUGAUGGUCUCCUGGGGUGGAGAAAAGCGGGGAGGGGCUGAGGGGUCUCCGAAGCCGGCAGUCUACGCCACGAGGAAAACCGGUAGCGUCAGGAGCCAGGAGGACCAGUGGUACUUGGGCUACCCGGGGGACCAGUGGUCCUCGGGCUUCUCCUACAGCUGGUGGAAAAACAGCGUCGGCAGCGAGAGCAAGCACGGUGAGGGCGCCUUAGACCAGCCCCAGCACGAUGUCCGCCUGGAAGAUCUUGGCGAGCUCCACAGAGCUGCCCGGUCGGGCGACGUCCCUGGGGUGGAGCACGUCUUGGUUCCUGGAGACACUGGCGUGGACAAGAGGGAUAGGAAGAAGAGCAUUCAGCAACUAGUUCCUGAAUAUAAGGAAAAACAGACACCUGAAAGUCUUCCUCAAAAUAACAAUCCAGAUUGGCAUCCUACUAAUUUGACCCUUAGUGAUGAGACUUGUCAGAGAUCCAAGAAUCUGAAAGUUGAUGAUAAAUGUCCAUCUGUAUCACCAUCAAUGCCUGAAAAUCAGUCAGCAACCAAAGAACUGGGACAGAUGAACUUAACAGAACGAGAAAAGAUGGACACUGGGGUUGUACUUCUCUCAGGGAAUGAUACUCUCCAUGACCUGUGCCAAUCACAGCUACCAGAAAACAAAGAGAGCAAAGAAGAAAACGUCUCAAGAACCAGAAAUGGCUAAGGAUUGUGAUAGAGAGGAUAUACCUAUAUAUCCAGUACUUCCUCAUGUGCAAAAAUCUGAGGAAAUGCGGAUUGAACAAGGCAAAUUAGAGUGGAAAAACCAAUUAAAACUCGUCAUAAAUGAGUUAAAGCAGAGGUUUGGUGAAAUUUAUGAAAAAUACAAAAUUCCGGCUUGUCCUGAGGAAGAGCCACUACUUGAUAACUCUACAAGAGGAACAGAUGUGAAGGAUAUUCCCUUUAAUUUGACAAAUAACAUACCUGGUUGUGAGGAAGAAGAUGCAUCUGAAAUAUCUGUCUCAGUGGUAUUCGAGACAUUUCCUGAACAAAAAGAACCCAGUCUCAAAAAUAUCAUCCAUUCAUACUACCAUCCGUACUCUGGGUCCCAGGAACAUGUUUGCCAGUCAUCUUCUAAGCUUCAUUUACAUGAAAAUAAAUUAGACUGCGACAAUGAUAACAAACCAGGCAUUGGACAUAUUUUUAGUACAGAUAAGAACUUUCAUAAUGAUGCAAGCACUAAGAAAGCAAGGAACCCAGAAGUGGUUACGGUUGAAAUGAAAGAAGACCAAGAGUUUGAUUUGCAAAUGACAAAAAAUAUGAACCAAAAUAGUGACAGUGGCAGUACAAAUAACUAUAAAAGCCUGAAACCUAAAUUAGAAAAUCUGAGUUCUUUACCACCAGAUUCUGACAGAACAUCAGAAGUAUAUCUACAUGAAGAAUUACAGCAAGACAUGCAAAAGUUUAAGAAUGAGGUCAACACAUUAGAAGAAGAGUUCCUGGCUUUGAAGAAAGAAAAUGUUCAACUUCAUAAAGAGGUUGAAGAAGAAAUGGAGAAGCACAGAAGUAAUAGCACAGAAUUAUCAGGAACCCUAACUGAUGGUACUACUGUUGGCAAUGAUGAUGAUGGACUAAAUCAGCAGAUUCCUAGGAAGGAAAAUGGAGAGCAUGACAGGUAAGCCUAUAGCAGCGUUUAACAGGAGACAAUUGGUCAAGUGUGGUGGCUCACGCCUGUAAUCCAGCAAUUUGGGAGGCCAAGGUGGGUGAAUCACCUGAGGUCAGGAGUUCAAGACCAGCCUGACCAACAUGGAUAAACCCCAUCUCUACUAAAAAUACAAAAUUAGCCAGGUGUAGUGGUGCAUGCCUGUAAUCCCAGUUACUCAGGAGGCUGAGGCAAGAGAAUCGUUUGAACCUGGGAGGCGGGGGUUGUGGUGAGCCAUGAUCAUGCCAUUGCACUCGAGCCUGGGCAACAAGAGUAAAACUCCAUUUCAAAAAAAAAAAAAAAA
ensembl:lncRNA novel transcript